AUUGAACGCUGGCGGCAGGCCUAACACAUGCAAGUCGAGCGGGGUUUUCGGACCUAGCGGCGGACGGGUGAGUAAUGCGUAGGAAGCUACCCGAUAGAGGGGGAUACCAGUUGGAAACGACUGUUAAUACCGCAUAAUGUCUACGGACCAAAGUGUGGGACCUUCGGGCCACAUGCUAUCGGAUGCGCCUACGUGGGAUUAGCUAGUUGGUGGGGUAAUGGCUCACCAAGGCGACGAUCCCUAGCUGGUUUGAGAGGAUGAUCAGCCACACUGGAACUGAGACACGGUCCAGACUCCUCCUGGAGGCAGCAGUGGGGAAUAUUGGACAAUGGGCGCAAGCCUGAUCCCGCCAUGCCGCGUGUGUGAAGAAGGCCUUCGGGUUGUAAAGCACUUUCAGUAGGGAGGAAGGGUGUUGUGUUAAUAGCACAGCAUUUUGACGUUACCUACAGAAGAAGCACCGGCUAACUCUGUGCCAGCCGCCGCCGUAACAC
rnacentral:rRNA from 1 species